ensembl:lncRNA
GUGGGCUUAGAGAGCAGGUGGAGUUGUGAUGGACAGUUUGCAAAAGUCCUCACUACUGUGCUGCAUGCAGGGAAACGUGUCUGGAAAGAUGCUGAACCUGAGUAAAAUAUUCUAGACAGUGAGACUGGAUGGUUUGAAUGGCAGCUUGUAUCCCUAAGCUCCUAUUUCCUGACAGGUAUUUUAGUUUGAAGAAUGCUUUAAGUCGGUGUGCUCGCCACAUAGUAAGCCCCAUAGGUGGGCUGGUAAUUGCUGCUGAACUGGUACAUCCAAGGGAUUUAAGAUGGACUUGGCUUCACUAAGGCAUCAGUUGUCUCUGUAGCAAGUGCAGGACCUGUGCUUGUCUGGCCUGAGGGCAAUGGGCAUCACUCAGCAGCUGCUGCAUGAGCAGCACUGUAAGGCACAGGGGGUCUUUGUCAAGAGUUAAAGAAGAAAUUAAAGUGAAAACAAGGUUUUAAGCUAUAUAUUUUACACUGCUCAUUUCCAAUCUUCUCCUAGGCUAUGCAUAUGUUGAAAUGUUUUAAAAGUAGUCGAUUUUAUGCCUUUUGCUAUCUAAAGUCUUUGGAUGUGCUCCACUUAUUCUUAGGUUCCCUUUCCAUUUACAUCAUUAGAUGCAUUUCCAUAUGAAAUACAUACAUAAUCAGCUGUCUGAAGGGCAUUUUUAGAUGGGGAAGAACUCCAAAUAUUCAUAUUCUCAUGGUAAGAUUGCAAGCAUUGCCACACUGUGUAUUUUAGUUCACACUGUGUGUUUAUGCAUAUUCUUCCUGUCCCUGCAGAUGUUCCCAGCUUCUCUUUAUAGAUCCCAAACACUGACCCUUCUCUCGAAUACUAAAUUCUCCAUGUCAGUUUAGCUAAUGACUGUUUUGGUUUUUUUUAGAUAUAAGCUCGAUUCUGCAGACAACGGGAAUGAAUGCAGGUGUCUCAAAUUCUUCAUGCCUCUUUCUGAUAAAUAUUUCACCAGCCUUUCUUUCUCCCUGCUUGCACUCAGGACGCUGGAUGACAUUUGCACUAACAGUGUUUUAUUUUAUCAUGUUGAAGAGCAUUGUAGAUAUUGCCAUAUAGAAUAGGCAGCUCCUUUGGAUUGGUAGCAGUUGCUGUUGACGGCUAGGCAUAAAGCUACUUUCAAAUACUUAUUGUGCUGAUACAACAUGUAAUUAAAGGGAGGAUGGAUGAAACUUGUUUGCUGCUGGAUUCACAGGCGCUUGCCUGGGGCUCAGCGAGGAGGAACUCAGCCAAAGCUGAGGCUCCAGUCCCUAAUUGGAGCAUCGCGUGGGGGAGAUGCGGGAAGCAUUCCUCCUCUUUCAGCAGAGCAGAGCUGGUGUGACGGCAGGCAGGUUGCUGGGGGUGACAAGGGCAUGCUUUUCCCUCCCUGCUGUGGAGCUCUUGAACUGGCAGCGCGUGAUCUGAGUGUAGGUUCACUGCUGUUGGUACUUCCUUUGGGACUGGAUCCUUGCACAGCUUCCACAUCCAUCCUGACAUGUCCUCGCCACAGAAGUGGAUGCACACUGCAAAGGUUGGGUGAGUUUUCAAGUGGACUUGAGCACAGGCUGCCUCCCAGGGAAGCGUGUGUUCAUGCUGGAUCGUGUUGCUUCAGCACUUAAAGCCUUGCUCCUGUUUGCAGUUCAGAGUAAUGUUCUGGGAGAGCAGGCAGGAGCUUGUCCCACCGCACACAUCUGUUGGACAGUGAGCUAGCUCUUUGUGACAAACUCUUUUCUUAUUGGCAGAGGCUUAAGAAACAGAAGAUUGAAAUACAACAUGAUAACUUCUUUUUCCCUGAUCAGAUCCCGAGUCAUACAUCGCAGAGUACAUGGCAGGAUGCAGUUGUUCGCUGAUGCUUCUGGCUUGAGGGAUUUGAUGCUCCAAAUUGAAUUGAGUAUCUCUGGCUCCCACUAAGGGGUGUGGGAGUUGUGUGACUUCAUGAAGAUUUGUGUCCAUGUUUGUCUGUGUGAACUUCAUUCUGAGAGUUGUCUGACUCCCACAUGAAAUGUAGCAAUCUUUCUUCUCCCUGGAAGAGAAUGCUGAAUUCUGCCAAGUGUGUCGGUAAUUGUUUUUAUAACAAUAAAUCUCAGCAUGGUGCAAGUGCUUCAAUCCUUGCUGGAAUCUGUGAUAUUUGUUGGGUGAGGACAGCAGUAGCAGAGGCACAACCCAGCACUGCCUCCCUGUGCUUUGAUGCCUUAAGAGGGAAUGGAAGAUUAUUGAGUGAACGAUAACUUAACAAACAAGUUUGAUGAGAACAAGAGAUGAGCUCAUCUGAGCAUCAUAAUAAUUACUUGCUCCUCCAUGCAACUGUUAAGGCUUGAGCUUGUCACCACGUUUCCAGCUUUGCUUGGCCUGCCUAUUCUCUGUCAUGGAAGUGGUGUGCUGAGAGCGAUGGUCAUGGUGCUGGUAAAGUGUUCGCUAUGUUUGUUUGGGAAAUGUCAGGAAAAUAUUGCUUGCUAUAUGGAAACAGUUGUGCUUCAGUGUCUGUUUCUGAAAGGUUGAUUCUUUCCUUCUAUCCCUUUUUUUCCUAUUGACCGCAUGCCCCGUUUCGGGCAAGGCAUGCAGCUCUUGGGGCAGCUGGUACCAGCCACCUUGGGUGGGGGAAUGAAGGGUGGUAGGCUUCAAGCACAAGCUUGGGAGAGGAAAUGAAGCAAGCUUCGGGGAUUUCAUGUGCAAAAUUUGGUUCGUGUUGAGUGAAAUGAGUAAGUGGGAGGCUGUCAGGCUGCAUCCUUGGAUUAGGAGCUAAACUCUUCUCCAUUGGGCAUCAUCCUGUGGCUUUAACGCUGAAAAAUGGGAGUCGUCCUGAUCUCAUGGGACUUUUUCAUGUUCCAGUAGAGCUUCAUUACCUGAAGAUGGCUCAAAAUUGCAUCUCUGAAUUUGCAUUUCUGUUGUUUCAAGCACAGCCUUGUGUGUCAUUGCUGGAUAAUUCCUUUCAGAUACAGGGAGCCAUUGCGACGUGUUUCUCUCUCUCAGCUGCCUAUUAGCUACUUCUAGCUCUGGGGCUCUUCUGUUCCUGGAUCAGCAGAGAUCACCAAAUGAGUUUGUCAUUAUUUGUUUUCUUCUGCAUGUCUUAAUUAUGGCAUUUAGAGGGGGACUUUUCCCAUCUCUAUCUUGUUUACUAGAUCUUGUUGGAGGUCCUCCCUUUUGGCUUGAAUUUAAUUGCUGAAUUGUAUCUCAGGAACUUCAGCUGGUAUUCAGCCACCCCUCGCUUUAAAAGCUGAGUGGAAGUCCAUUCCUUCUGCUUGACCUCUGUUGCCUUUUUGAUUUCCCUAGCAGAUCUGCUUUUCUGAAGCUGUUUUCCCUAAAAUGGUGUGCUUAAUUCCAUUCGUACCCUCUGAGCAGCCUUUUUCGCUCAAUAGAGUUGAUGCAAUGAAAUGAACUUGGAAGAUUAAUUUGUUAUUCUCUGAUAUUUCCCAAUUCCCCAACCUCCCAUUUUUUUGCACAGAAACCUCCCACUGAGCUCUUUUGGAAGAGCUUUGUUUCUCAGCUUUUCUCUUAAAGGCUGGCUUCUGGGCUACAGCACAAGGAUAAUAGCCUUAAGUGUCCUAUAAUGCUUUUCAUUUGCAGGCUCUCUAAGCCUUAGACCACUGUAUGUUCAUAUCUCUAUGGAAAUACAGCUGUCUGGGAGAUGGAAAGAUUAUUAUCAGCUAGAAGUAGUCAGGAAGAAGGCCUUCCAGAGGACGGUCACAGAAAUGGUUAGAAGACCAGAACACCUCUCCCAGGGAGAAGGGCUGAGACACCUUGGGAGUAUUUAUCUAUAGAACAAGGGGUAAAUGGCUUUAAGAUAGAAUCACAGAAUCACAGAAUGGCUUGGGUUGGAAGGGACCCCAAGGAUCAUGAAGCUCCAACCCCCCCACACAGGCAGGGCCACCAACCUCCACCUCGAAUACCAGCCCAGGCUGCCCAGGGCCCCAUCCAACCUGGCCUUGAACACCUCCAGGGAUGGACGGGGCAUCCACAGCCUCUCUGGGCAGCUGUUCCAGCACCUCACCACUCUUAUAAUAAAGAACUUCCGCCUGAUAUCCAACCUAAAUCUUCCCUCCCUCAACUUGUAACCAUUUUCCCUUGUCCUGCUGUUAUCUACCCUUGCAAAGAGUUGAGUCCCCUUUUGUUCGUAGCCUCCCUAAAAUAAAAGAGGAUUAGUUUGCAUUGGGUAUUAUAAGGAAAUUUUUUACAACGAGGGCAUUGCUCAAGGCCAGGCUGGAUGGGGCCCUGGACAGCCUGGUCAAUGGGAGGUGUUGCUGCCCAUGCACCCACUGCUUUGUAUCACUUACCAGUCUUGUGUGUGUUGAGUUCUUUCUGUGCACUGCAAGCUCACCACAUCAUCAAAUGAAAUAGGCCUUUCCUGUGCCUCUACCCAGCAAGAUGCCUCCAGUCUGGCAGAGCUGGAUUCAUUUAUUCAUUUUAAAUUAUUUUAAACCCAAUAAUGUUGCCUCUCCCCUCCCUAUCCUUUUUUUUUCCAGAGUAAUAAAGCAAUAAAUUAGAAAAGCUUCUUUUAUGCUUUUAGGAAAUUGCAAUUUUUGUUUAUGUGUCUUCUGAAAUCUACAAGGAGAGAAAGUGAACGUUUCUGUGGAAUGUAAGGGUUUUGAAGAUGCUCCAAAAAUACUCAAAACCAAAUGAAAGGUUGAGUGCUUCAUGGAUCUGUUUUCUCCUGGAAAAUGGUUUUGAUUUUGUGAACGUACUAAAGGCUGAGUAAUCUUGUUUAGAACUUGGUUCUCAGGGCAAGUUGGCUUUGAACCUCUUGAAUCUCCGCGCAUAAUUCAUCCUUCCUGGCAAGUGCUCCCAUCUUGGUGUUCCUUGUAAAAUCAGUAAGUGGAGAGAAAGGAGAAAAGCAAGUGAAAGGAUCUUUGAGUGAAGGGCAGAGAUGCUGCUUUUGCAGGCACUCGGAAGAAAUGAAAUUGGAGCAAUUUUCCUCAUCUCAAGCUGCUGUUCUUUUUCUAUGUAUUGACUUUUAAAAUCUUGCUCAUUCUCCUAUUUCUGCUGGGAGGGGAGCACUUGUACUCCAGCUGAACUCCAGCAGAUGGCUGUUAGGUAAGUGCGUGAUCAUGAGAGAGACCUACAAUUUCGCUCAAGCAUCACAGAUUAAAUAACAUUUCUCUCUAUAAAAAGCACACAUACAUUCUCUUAAUGUUAGGCCUUGUAUAUUUUAUCGUGAAGCAAUCUCAUCUACUGAAACAUGUUACAGAACUGUAACAGAUUAUCUCCUUAGAUUGUGGUGGGUUGUUUUGUAAGCUGAGACUUUCCAUGCCUCUGACUUGUAUGGGCAGCUUUGGUUGGCAUCAAUAACUAUGGUCUCAGCAUUGGUUUGAGGCCGGGAGUAGACAUGUGAGGCUCUUGUGUGCGGGUACCGGCUGUCACCAACAUGAUAAUGCUCUUUUGUCAUGAGGAUUAAAAGUAUACUGCUCCCUUCCCUAAUGAGUUCAUUAUUUAAUUAUCAGGUAAAGGUUAAAUGAGUGAAUUAAAUGUGGUUUAAUCAGCCUGAUGAUUCAGUUUGAUCUGAACGUGGUUUUUAAAUUUUAAACAUUUCAAUUCUCUCAGUCCUUUUUGUUUAGCUGUUAGAGGGAAUGCAGCUGGAUUUAUUUGUGUACCUGUUCCCUUUGUGCUGGAGGAAGCACCUCAGGCUGUGCAAACCAUGCUGCAGGAGCAUGUGGUCCUUCUGGACUUUCUUUCAUCUGCAAGCACUGAAAACUAAUUACAGUGAUGUGUCA